rnacentral:rRNA from 1 species
CAGUCGCCGCGGUAAUACGAGGGGGGCAAGCGUUGUUCGGAAUUAUUGGGCGUAAAGGGUGCGUAGGCGGUUCAGCAAGUCUCGUGUGAAAUCUUCGGGCUCAACCCGAAGCCUGCACGAGAAACUACCGGGCUUGAGUAUUGGAGAGGUGAGUGGAAUUUCCGGUGUAGCGGUGAAAUGCGUAGAUAUCGGAAGGAACACCUGUGGCGAAAGCGGCUCACUGGACAAUAACUGACGCUGAUGCACGAAAGCUAGGGGAGCAAACAGGAUUAGAUACCCCCGGUAGUCCCUGUCUCUUAUU